GCCGGCAUAGUAUAGUGGUCAGUACACAUCGUUGUGGUAUCGCAAGAUAUAAGCAAAUCCGAUGUAACCUCAGUUCGAUUCUGAGUGCCGGCA